CCCCUUCGGGGGUACUCGAGCGGCGAACGGGUGAGUAACACGUGAGCAACCUACCCCUAGCUCUGGGAUAACCCCGGGAAACCGGGGCUAAUACCGGAUAUCCACGCACCGUCGCAUGGCGGAGCGUGAAAAGGGCUUACCGGCUAGGGAUGGGCUCGCGGCCUAUCAGCUUGUUGGUGGGGUGAUGGCCUACCAAGGCGACGACGGGUAGCCGGCCUGAGAGGGCGACCGGCCACACUGGGACUGAGACACGGCCCAGACUCCUACGGGAGGCAGCAGUGGGGAAUAUUGCACAAUGGGCGAAAGCUUGAUGCAGCGACGCCGCGUGGGGGAUGAAGGCCUUCGGGUUGUAAACCUCUUUCGGCUCUGACGAAGCUGCCCGGUUUUCCGGGUGGUGACGGUAGGGGUUGAAGGAGCGCCGGCCAACUACGUGCCAGCAGCCGCGGUAAUACGUAGGGGGCAAGCGUUGUCCGGAUUCAUUGGGCGUAAAGAGCUCGUAG
rnacentral:rRNA from 1 species